rnacentral:rRNA from 1 species
UAGCUCUUUUAUUGAGAGAUAGAAUGAACGGUGCCACUAAAAUAGAUUGUUUCUUCGUUAACUUGAAUUUUUUGUUAAGUGAAAAGACUUAAAUGCCUCCUUUAGACGAUAAGACCCUAUGAAGCUUUAUUACUAUGUAAUUUUUUUGGGGCAAACUAUAAUAAUUAUUAUUAUUCUGGAGCUGCUUUUUGAUCUUUUUGAAUUUAAAGAAUAAGCUACUCUAGGGAUAACAGCAUAAUUUUUAUAAAAGUUCUCAUUAAAAUAAAAGAUUGUGACCUCGAUGUUGAAUUAAGAAAAAUAAUUUGUGCAGAAGCUAAUUAUUUUUAGUCUGUUCGACUAAAUUUUCUU